rnacentral:SRP_RNA from 1 species
GCUGGGCGUGGUGGCGCACGCCUGUAGUCCCAGUUACUCAGGAGGCUGAGGUAGGAGAAUCACUUGAACCCAGGAGGCGGAGGUUGCAGUGAGCCGAGAUUGAGCCACUGUACUCCAGCCUGGGUGACAAAGCAAGACUCUAUCUCAA